rnacentral:rRNA from 1 species
UCUAACCAUUCCAACCCUUUUUUUUGACUUGAUAUCAGAAAGUCCUCGGGGGGGGGGGGGGCUUUCCGCUCCUCAUGAUAAGACCGCCUCCGGUUCGCCCACCCCCCCUCCCUCUCUGGGGUUUUUUUCCCCCCCCCAAUAGAUGGGAUAGACCACCCUAUUAAAAUGGGAUUAGAUACCCCACUAUGCCAAGCCGUAAAAUAUUAAACUACAACAAAAAGCGCCAGGGAAGUACGAGCCAAGCUUAAAACCCAAAGGACUUGACGGUGUCCCAUCUACCUAGAGGAGCCUGUUCUAUAAUCGAUGAUCCCCGCUACACCUCACCCAUUAUUGCUUUUUCAGCCUGUAUACCUCCGUCGCAAGCUUACCAUCUGAGUGACAGUGAGCUCAAUGAUUAAACACACCAAUACGUCAGGUCAAGGUGCAGCCAAUAAAUGGGGAAGAAAUGGGCUACAAUUUCUAACAUAGAACAUACGGAAGGUCUGCAUGAAACCUGCAACCAGAAGGCGGAUUUAGCAGUAAGAAGAAAACAGCGAGUCUCUACCAGAGUCUGGACG